rnacentral:rRNA from 1 species
UUGAACGCUGGCGGAAUGCUUUACACAUGCCAGUCGAGCGGCAGCGCGGCCUUCGGGCUGGCGGCGAGCGGCGAACGGGUGAGUAAUGCAUCGGAACAUGCCCAGUCGUGGGGGAUAACACUUCGAAAGAAGUGCUAAUACCGCAUACGUCCUGAGGGGGAAAGCGGGGGAUCGCAAGACCUCGCGCGAUUGGAGUGGCCGAUGUCAGAUUAGCUAGUUGGUGGGGUAAAGGCCUACCAAGGCGACGAUCUGUAGCUGGUCUGAGAGGAUGAUCAGCCACACUGGGACUGAGACACGGCCCAGACUCCUACGGGAGGCAGCAGUGGGGAAUUUUGGACAAUGGGGGCAACCCUGAUCCAGCCAUUCCGCGUGAGUGAAGAAGGCCUUCGGGUUGUAAAGCUCUUUCGGCAGGAACGAAACGGUGGGCUCUAACAUAGUCCGCUAAUGACGGUACCUGAAGAAGAAGCACCGGCUAACUACGUG